AAUGGCUUCAGUUCAGGCUUUGAGAGAGUUUAUCAGCGAGAGGCUGAAUGCUGCUGCUGUGGAAAUCUUCACCGUGUUUGAACAGACUAUCGUUCGGUACGAGGAGAAGAUUGAAAGUCAGCACAGAUUGCUUCAAAUCAACUGGAAUCCUCAAAUCAAGUUACACAGAGCAGAGCUUCCACAGCAAAAUGCCUGCAGGAAGGAGCAGCGCUUUCAGCAGGAAACAAACUACACUCUGGAGAGGGAAGAACCAGAACCUCCACAGAUCAGAGAGGAACAAGAAGAACCAGGAGUUCUACAGUUUACAGCGGAUCAAGAGGAACCAGAAUCUUUACAGAUCAAAGAGGAACCAGAAGAGCCAGGACUCCUACAGUUUAGAGAGGAACAGGAGGAAUUGAAUCUUUCACAGAUUGAAGAACUCAGUGACAACCAGGAGGGAGAGUGGCUCAUGUGGAAGUUUGAAAGUGAUAAAUUUAGUGUGCCUACUGUUACGGAGCAAAGUGACAUUACUGAGCCAGUUGAAGCACCGAACACUGAGCAGUUCCUGUCACACCACUCUGAUUUCCAUCUGAAAAAACAUAUAGACUCAGAAUCAACUGUGAAUGCAGAGCUGGAAGAAAGCAGCACAUUUCAUAGUGACCAUAUGGAAAACAUUCCUGUGUCAGAGAAACAGGCUGAAGGUGAUUCGUUUCCCUGUGAGGAAACAUGUGGUGAAAAUGUUGGCAAAAAACAAGAAAACUUAUGUCAGAAUUUGAGAAGACCUCAUCACAACAUCAAUACUUCCUCAGGAGAGCACAGAGUCAACGAGCACAACACGGCAACGCGCAAUAUGAAGAAAUGCCGGGCCUGCCACGAGAAAAUCCAUGUGGCCUAUAAGAAAUGUCCGAAGUGCAAGGCUGCGCAGCCGCACAAAGAAAGACUCCUGAAAGCAAGAAAAAGAUUUGAAGAAAAAGAAAUCGAAUGGAAAGACAAAGUCAAGAUGAAUCACAAUGCUACACACGUGCUGGACUCCUGCUUCUUAAUGCUGGACCGAAUUGCUGCUCUUGGUCACUUUCCUAUUUUGCUCCUGGGAAAGAAAAAGAAGACGACAUACACUACUGAUAUCAUCACGAGCUUAAAGAUGAAGCUGGAUGACGGCUUGCAGGCGAGCAUAAAAAGCAUGUAUGCACGAGUGUUACAGCUGCAUUUCAGCAGGUUUCCUCAGCCAACGGCAGGCAACAGCAGAGAGGAGGGCAGGACUGAUCACGCUUUCGUUUUCUUUGAACCUCCAUUUGAAUCUGUGUUGGAUCUGAAUCCUGUGCCUCCAAAUGGUCCAGAUGUCUUUGAAGCAGUAGAUGAGGGGACUGGCAACACGGAGGGACUGGCAGAUCACGAAUCUAUCAUUCGGGAUUGUGAAAUGGUUGAAGAGACAGAUCCAGAAAGAACAGUUGUUAAAGAAGCUGGAAAUGACACGGCAACACGCAAUAUGAAGAAAUGCCGGGCCUGCCACGAGAAAAUCCAUGUGGCCUGUAAGAAAUGUCCGAAGUGCAAGGCUGCACAGCCGCACAAAGAAAGACUCCUGAAAGCAAGAAAAAGAUUUGAAGCAAAAGAAAUCGAAUGGAAAGACAAAGUCAAGAUGAAUUGCAAUGCUACACAGGUGUUGGACUCCUGCUUCAUCAUGCUGGACCGAAUUGCUGCUCUUGGUCACUUUCCUGUUUUGGUCCUGGCCAAGAAAAGGAAGACAAAAUACAUUCCGUAUGUCUUCACGAGCUUGAAGAUGAAGCUGGAUGACGGCUUGCAGGCCAGCAUAAAAAGCAUGUAUGCACGAGUGUUACAGCUGCAUUUCAGCAGGUUUCCUCAGCCAACCCAGCCUCCUCAGCCAACGGCAGGCAAAAGCAGAGAGGAGGGCAGGACUGAUCACGGUCCAACUGAAGAAAGAUUGGUGGUGCUGGAUCUGUGUCCUGUGCCUCCAAAUGCUCCAGAUGUGUUUGAUGAGGGGACUGGCGACGCAGAGGGACUGGCAGAUCAUGGUGCUUCUGCCGCGGCGUCCCUGGAGAACAUGCAGUGGUAUUAAGUGGCAGAAUUCUCAGGAAUCCCUGUCCUGCCUUGGGAGCUCAGCAGGUGAGGAAGCUUUUGGUGGAUCCCACUGCGCUACAGGAGGAGGAGGAGGAGAAUGAAGAGGUCCUUGAGUGUCUCUGAGCGUGACUGAAAUGUUCUGUGCCGGUUUGUUGUUCUGUUCUUUGUGCCUGGUUCUGUUAAAUUAAAA